rnacentral:rRNA from 1 species
GAUUGAACGCUGGCGGCAUGCCUUACACAUGCAAGUCGAACGGUAACCGGUCUUCGGAUGCUGACGAGUGGCGAACGGGUGAGUAAUACAUCGGAACGUGCCCGAUCGUGGGGGAUAACGGAGCGAAAGCUUUGCUAAUACCGCAUACGAUCUACGGAUGAAAGCAGGGGACCGCAAGGCCUUGCGCGGACGGAGCGGCCGAUGGCAGAUUAGGUAGUUGGUGGGAUAAAAGCUUACCAAGCCGACGAUCUGUAGCUGGUCUGAGAGGACGACCAGCCACACUGGGACUGAGACACGGCCCAGACUCCUACGGGAGGCAGCAGUGGGGAAUUUUGGACAAUGGGCGAAAGCCUGAUCCAGCCAUGCCGCGUGCAGGAUGAAGGCCUUCGGGUUGUAAACUGCUUUUGUACGGAACGAAAAGACUCUUUCUAAUAAAGAGGGUCCAUGACGGUACCGUAAGAAUAAGCACCGGCUAACUACGUG